GACGAACGCUGGCGGCGUGCCUAAUACAUGCAAGUUGAGCGCUGAAGGUUGGUACUUGUACCAACUGGAUGAGCAGCGAACGGGUGAGUAACGCGUGGGGAAUCUGCCUUUGAGCGGGGGACAACAUUUGGAAACGAAUGCUAAUACCGCAUAAAAACUUUAAACACAAGUUUUAAGUUUGAAAGAUGCAAUUGCAUCACUCAAAGAUGAUCCCGCGUUGUAUUAGCUAGUUGGUGAGGUAAAGGCUCACCAAGGCGAUGAUACAUAGCCGACCUGAGAGGGUGAUCGGCCACCUUGGGACUGAGACACGGCCCAAACUCCUAAGGGAGGCAGCAGUAGGGAAUCUUUGGCAAUGGGCGAAAGGCUGAACGAGGAACGCCGCGUGAGUGGAGAAGGGUUUCGGAUUGGAAAACUCUGUUGGUAGGGAAGAACGUUGGUGAGAGUGGAACGCUCAUCAAGUGACGGUAACUACCCAGAAAGGGACGGCUAACUACGUG
rnacentral:rRNA from 1 species